GCCUUUUUAACUCAAUUGGUAGAGUAUCAGUUUUGUAAACUGACGGUUAUCGGUUCGAGUCCGAUAAAAGGCU
rnacentral:tRNA from 1 species